UACGUAGGGGGCAAGCGUUGUCCGGAUUUACUGGGCGUAAAGAGCGUGUAGGCGGCCACGCAGGUCCGUUGUGAAAACUGGAGGCUCAACCUCCAGACGGUCGACGAACCGUAUGGCUAGAGUCCGGAAGAGGAGAGUGGAAUUCCUGGUGUAGCGGUGAAAUGCGCAGAUAUCAGGAAGACACCAAUGGCGAAGGCAGCUCUCUGGGACGGUACUGACGCUGAGACGCGAAAGCGUGGGG
rnacentral:rRNA from 1 species